GCCUGCCGUAUCCGCCCAGGAGGGGGCCAGGUACACAUGCAGGGCAAACUGUUUAUUCAUGAAUGAAUGAAUGAGUGAGUGAAUGAAUGACUAGAAUUCUUAGCCCUUGUACUUAAAGGGCUCUGAAUAUGGAGAUAGAACACUGGAGUCGAAGUCCCAGCCCCCUCUGUCGCUCUCUCUGAAGCUCAGUGACUACUCCAGUAUUAAAUGAUGCAUGUAUAAAGUUAGUCACUCUAUCAUUAUCUGUAAUAGCAGAUGAUUGGAAAUGACCUAAAUGUCUCAUAAUAAGGAACUAGUUUUAAAAAGCAUGUUCCAUUCAUGCCUUGAAAUACUAUACAUUGAAAAAAUAAAAAUUGUAUAAAUAUGUGAAAAAAACAGUGUGUAUAUUAUACUACGACUUACUUCUUUGUGCAUAGAUGUUCUACAAGGCUAUAUAAAAGAUUGUUAAUUAUGGUUGUCUCUUGGGAGGGGGAGUUUAGAUUGUAUAAUGGGGUAGAAGGCUGACUUUUCGUUGUUUACUAUUCUGCACCUUCUGGAUUUUGUACUAUGUAUAUAUUUUAUAUAUUAAAAUAGCUUUAUAUAAAUAAAACUAGCCCCAUGGCUGAAUAAAUUUUAUUACAAUUUUCUUAUGAUUCCCUGAUACUCUGUUCCUUAACU
rnacentral:lncRNA from 1 species